rnacentral:rRNA from 1 species
AGUGAACGCUGGCGGUAGGCCUAACACAUGCAAGUCGAACGGCAGCACAGUAAGGGCUUGCUCUUACGGGUGGCGAGUGGCGGACGGGUGAGGAAUACAUCGGAAUCUACUUUUUCGUGGGGGAUAACGUAGGGAAACUUACGCUCAUACCGCAUACGACCUACGGGUGAAAGCAGGGGAUCUUCGGACCUUGCGCGAUUGAAUGAGCCGAUGUCGGAUUAGCUAGUUGGCGGGGUAAAGGCCCACCAAGGCGACGAUCCGUAGCUGGUCUGAGAGGAUGAUCAGCCACACUGGAACUGAGCCACGGUCCAGACUCCUACGGGAGGCAGCAGUGGGGAAUAUUGGACAAUGGGGGCAAGCCUGAUCCAGCCAUACCGCGUGGGUGAAGAAGGCCUUCGGGUUGUAAAGCCCUUUUGUUGGGAAAGAAAAGCAGCAGGUUAAUACCCCGCUGUUCUGACGGUACCCAAAGAAUAAGCACCGGCUAACUUCGUG